GGCAGCAGUGGGGAAUCUUCCGCAAUGGACGAAAGUCUGACGGAGCAACGCCGCGUGAGUGAAGAAGGUUUUCGGAUCGUAAAGCUCUGUUUUUAGGGACGAAUGGUCUUUAUGCAAAUAGUGUAGAGACAUGACGGUACCUAAAGAGGAAGCCACGGCUAACUACGUGCCAGCAGCCGCGGUAAUACGUAGGUGGCAAGCGUUGUCCGGAAUUAUUGGGCGUAAAGGGCGUGUAGGCGGGAUAGCAAGUCUGUUGUAAAAGUGCGGAGCUCAACUCCGUAAGGUCAAUGGAAACUGUUAUUCUUGAGUGCAGGAGAGGAAAGUGGUAUUCCCAGUGUAGCGGUGAAAUGCGUAGAUAUUGGGAGGAACACCAGUGGCGAAGGCGACUUUCUGGACUGUGUCUGACGCUGAGGCGCGAAAGCCAGGGUAGCGAACGGGAUUAGAUACCCCGGUAGUCCUGGCCGUAAACGAUGAGUGCUAAGUGU
rnacentral:rRNA from 1 species